UCUCACUUUGCUUUUUCUUUGGUGCAGAUGCAGUGUGAUAUAUCCUUGUCUCAAAAGAAGAAAGAGAUCAGAGGCCUCUUGCACCAAAACUCAGGGACACGACCAAUGUUAAUAUUCCUCCCAAGGACACAGAAAGCAGGCCAUCACAAGCAGAUUCUUUUCCCUCCUCAACAAGAAGAAAGAAAGCCAUCCUAGUGUUACAAUUGGCUUCUUUCAUCUGAAGAAACAUGGAGCAAGGUUCAAAAAGCUUACAGCUAUCAUGUGACAGUGAGUUCAUCCAAUCACAAGAAUGAUUCUUGGCUUUAGUAAAGCACAGAUAAGCACAGCAAACACUAGUUGGAAGCACACCAUUUGUUGCAGAGAACUCAAUGCUUCUAUGCCAAAGAUGAUGUAGAAAUGAUACCCAGAGAUUAACAAGCACAAGAUGGACCUGCAGAAGGACCCAAAUGUUCAUGGUGCGGCAUAUAUAUGCUUUGACAAGAUUGGUAGUGUACUAAUCACUGGUUCUAAAUCUUUGUCAGGACAGUUUGCUCUACAAGCUUUUUCCGAGGCAAAUAAGUGAGAGGUUUGUACUCAAAAGAGUAGAGUAGAGCAGGACAGUGAUAGUGCAUGGAUAAAAAGCAUACCUGGGAGAAGGAAGAGCCCCAAACAAAACACAUAAAUAUAGCAGCUGCCUUUCUUGGGUUUUUUUUGGUCUUACAGCAUGUGACAGACUUGGCCUCUUCCUGUUUCUCAUACAGAACAGAAGCAUAUCUGCGAAAGUCUACCUUGGAAUAGACCCAAUAUUUCACUGCCUGCUUCCACAAACUGCGCAACCCAACAUUUAGCUGGAACAAUGAACAGUGUCUCAUGAUUGAUUCUUUUUCCCACCACUUCAAAAGUGGGAUGAACAGCAGGAAAAAUACAAAAGGAAUAACAAGAAACAAAUUUGUCAUAGUCCAUGACAUCCACCAGUGCAACAUUCUAAAUAAUCCAAGAGGAUUAUCUCAAUCAACAUUCAAGAGUAGCCAGCCAGUAGAAGAACAAAGGAGCCAUGAGAGUUGAUCUAUGAGUGCUGACCGAUGAUGUGAAAGUACUGAAUCUACUGUCACAUUUGGGUCAUGAACAUUGCCAGUCCUUGAAACCCAGUAAGGUACACAAGCUUCAGAAGCCAUUCAGCUCGAUCUUGUACGGGAAAAACUAAUAAGCAGGUUGAAUUAUUUGUCAAUGAGGGGAGGGGACAUAAGUCAGUAUAAAGAAUAGUACAAUCAUGUCCUCUUACAUUGGGGGAGAGGCCGAGGAAGAAUGAGGGACGGAAUGUCUUGUAGCUCGGGCCCCUUGAGAAGCACAAAGGAGCAGUCGUCACUCACUGCACAAGACAAGAGGACGAGAGAGAUGAGAUUGGUGGGGCUGUACACUGAGAUGUGCUUGCAAUGUAAAUCAUCUGAGAGAAGACACUGUUGCACGAUAGCUAUACAGAUUUCAGCUUAGGAUGCUAAGGAAUGUAGCAAAACGCCAAGAGAAUGAAACCCAAGACCUUAGCACUCUCUCUCUCUCUCUCUAACACACACACACACACACACACACAGAUGGGGCUCUCCUUUUGAAGCUGACUUACAUGGAUUCUCUUUGUCAGCACAAAACCCAUCACUCCUAUGGAGGGGAUGUGUACUCUACUGUUGGCUUCGGGCCCGAGACGAGAGAUCAAGUUGUCAUGCCUAUAUAAUAUCCUCCUCAUUUUCUUUCUCAGUUCA